UAAAUACCCCAGGAGACUGAAGUCCUCUAUUUAUUCACAAAAUAGACAGCACAGACAGCAUCUGGGAAAGCUUCCUAGUCUUUGUCCCACUGAUGUGUCUCAACCCUGGCCUGGAGGGAUCACAUCUACAUGUGAAAUGAUGCCCUGCCCCUCCCCCCCAUUCUCAACCUUUUGACU
rnacentral:sRNA from 1 species